rnacentral:rRNA from 1 species
GUAAGGAAUAUUGGACAAUGGACGCAAGUCUGAUCCAGCCAUGCCGCGUGAAGGAUUAAGGUCCUCUGGAUUGUAAACUUCUUUUAUAAGGGACGAAAAAAGGCUUUUCUAAGUCGUCUGACGGUACCUUAUGAAUAAGCACCGGCUAACUCCGUGCCAGCAGCCGCGGUAAUACGGAGGGUGCAAGCGUUAUCCGGAUUCACUGGGUUUAAAGGGUGCGUAGGCGGGCAGGUAAGUCAGUGGUGAAAUCCUAGAGCUUAACUCUAGAACUGCCAUUGAUACUAUCUGUCUUGAAUAUUGUGGAGGUAAGCGGAAUAUGUCAUGUAGCGGUGAAAUGCUUAGAUAUGACAUAGAACACCUAUUGCGAAGGUAGCUUACUACGCAUAUAUUGACGCUGAGGCACGAAAGCGUGGGGAUCAAACAGGAUUAGAAACCCCUGUAGUCC